AGUCUACGGGAGGCAGCAGUGGGGAAUUUUGGACAAUGGGCGCAAGCCUGAUCCAGCCAUGCCGCGUGUCUGAAGAAGGCCUUCGGGUUGUAAAGGACUUUUGUCAGGGAAGAAAAGGCUGUUGCUAAUAUCGAUAGCUGAUGACGGUACCUGAAGAAUAAGCACCGGCUAACUACGUGCCAGCAGCCGCGGUAAUGACU
rnacentral:rRNA from 1 species